ACAGUGGAUAUAUUGAAGAUGGAGCUGCCAAGCAGGAGGAAGAGGAAAAACCACAGAGAAGAGUCAAAGACAUGUUGAAGGAGGACAUUACGGAGCAACCGGCUGACUAUAAGUCAAAUGGGCUAACGACAGUUGAAAUUGCAUCACAGAGAGCCUUCGGGCUACCUCAGCUGACACUGGAGGCUGGAGACUUACAGUGAGAUCACUUGGAUGGUGUUGCUUACCCACUAAAAUAAUGUGGAUUACGUGCUCGAGGAAGCAGCACCCAAAGGACACUGGGAUUACCAAAGAUGACCUUAAGCAGCCUACGAACUUUUCUUUUUCAGGUGUGAUGGCAGAAAUGAAAAUAUUCUGGUCAGUGAACAUUUCUGGCUUUUUGAAUUUUGUUUUGGGUUCGUUCACCUUGUGGCUCAAGCCACUUUAGGUUUCAUGUCUUUAUUGUCAGUACUUUAGUUACUCUAGCGUUGAAGUGUCUACAUAGAUUGUAGUAAAUGUUAAGAUCACCUGAUUUCCAUAGUUUUCUAGGACGGAAACUGACAUGCAAGA